rnacentral:lncRNA from 1 species
UUUUUUGUGCUGAACAUCUUAUUCUCCUUUUUUUUUACCAGAUUUUUCCACUUGGUGUGAAUCCAACAGUUCCAAAAUUCUAUAAAUUACCCACCCCUUACCUUCCUCUCAACACUUCCAUUUCUUCUAUUUUUCAAAAGUUUAGAGAUAGAGUAAUUUAGUGAGAGAAGAAGUGAAAGAAAGGGGAACAAUAAAGAAGAAAUUAUAGA